GGGCGGCUAGCUCAGUUGGGAGAGCGCCGCGUUCGCAACGCGGAGGUCGGGGGUUCAAGUCCCCUGCCGUCCACCA
rnacentral:tRNA from 1 species